GUGAACCUGCGGAAGGAUCAUUACCUAGAGUUGUAGGCUUUGCCUGCUAUCUCUUACCCAUGUCUUUUGAGUACCUUCGUUUCCUCGGCGGGUCCGCCCGCCGAUUGGACAAUUUAAACCAUUUGCAGUUGCAAUCAGCGUCUGAAAAAACUUAAUAGUUACAACUUUCAACAACGGAUCUCUUGGUUCUGGCAUCGAUGAAGAACGCAGCGAAAUGCGAUAAGUAGUGUGAAUUGCAGAAUUCAGUGAAUCAUCGAAUCUUUGAACGCACAUUGCGCCCCUUGGUAUUCCAUGGGGCAUGCCUGUUCGAGCGUCAUUUGUACCUUCAAGCUCUGCUUGGUGUUGGGUGUUUGUCUCGCCUCUGCGUGUAGACUCGCCUCAAAACAAUUGGCAGCCGGCGUAUUGAUUUCGGAGCGCAGUACAUCUCGCGCUUUGCACUCAGAACGACGACGUCCAAAAGUACAUUUUUACACUCUUGACCUCGGAUCAGGUAGGGAUACCCGCUGAACUUAAGCAUAUCAAUAAGCGGA
rnacentral:rRNA from 1 species